GAGCGCAAAUGUUAGACGAUCCUAUCAGCCCGCCGCGUGUGUAUAAGGCCUUAGGUUGUAAGCCCUUUUCUGGGGAAGAAGGAUCGUGGGAGGAAACGCCUUGCAUGAUGACCUGAACCCGCGAAUAAGCCCCGGCCAACUUCGUGCCCGCAGCCGCGGGGUAAAUAAAA
rnacentral:rRNA from 1 species